CUUCCAGUCGACGAGGUACGUGUACCUCGUUGACUGGAAGGAGAUCCUUCCCACAUACCUUGCUGACUGGAAGGGCUUCCUUCCAGUCGACAAGGUACGUGUACCUCGCCGGCUGGAAG
rnacentral:miRNA from 1 species